rnacentral:rRNA from 1 species
AACGAACGCUGGCGGCAUGCCUAACACAUGCAAGUCGAACGAGACCUUCGGGUCUAGUGGCGCACGGGUGCGUAACGCGUGGGAACCUGCCCUUAGGUUCGGCAUAACUCCCCGAAAGGGGUGCUAAUACCGGAUAAUGUCUUCGGACCAACGAUUUAUCGCCUUUGGAUGGGCCCGCGUUGGAUUAGCUAGUUGGUAGGGUAACAGCCUACCAAAGCAACGAUCCAUUGCUGGGCUGAAAGGCAAGUCAGCCACACUGGGACUAAGGCAAGGCCACGACGCCGCAAGGAGGGAGACAGUGGGGAGUAGUGAGAAAUGGCGGAAGACGUCAACCAACAUGUCGCGUUAAGGUACUGAAUCUUUGGGGUUGAAAUACGCUUUAACCGGGCAAGAUAAAGACGAAACCGGGGGAAAAGCCCCGGAACAACCCCGC